AUUGAACGCUGGCGGAAUGCUUUACACAUGCAAGUCGAGCGGCAGCGCGGGGCAACCUGGCGGCGAGCGGCGAACGGGUGAGUAAUGCAUCGGAACGUACCCCGUCGUGGGGGAUAACUACCCGAAAGGGUAGCUAAUACCGCAUACGACCUGAGGGUGAAAGCGGGGGACCGAAAGGCCUCGCGCGAUGGGAGCGGCCGAUGCCGGAUUAGCUAGUUGGUAGGGUAAAGGCCUACCAAGGCGACGAUCCGUAGCUGGUCUGAGAGGACGACCAGCCACACUGGAACUGAGACACGGUCCAGACUCCUACGGGAGGCAGCAGUGGGGAAUUUUGGACAAUGGGCGAAAGCCUGAUCCAGCCAUUCCGCGUGAGUGAAGAAGGCCUCGGUUGUAA
rnacentral:rRNA from 1 species